rnacentral:rRNA from 1 species
ACUCAAAUGAAUUGACGGGGACCCGCACAAGCAGCGGAGCAUGUGGUUUAAUUCGAAGCAACGCGAAGAACCUUACCAGGACUUGACAUUGCGCGACAGGUGUGGAAACACAUCCUCCUUCGGGCGCGCGGACAGGUGGUGCAUGGUUGUCGUCAGCUCGUGUCGUGAGAUGUUCGGUUAAGUCCGGCAACGAGCGCAACCCUUGUCGUAUGUUACCAAUAUUAAGUUAGGAACUCAUACGAGACUGCCAUGGAUAACAUGGAGGAAGGCGGGGAUGACGUCAAAUCAUCAUGCCCCUUACGUUCUGGGCUACACACGUGCUACAAUGGACGCUACAAAGAGCCGCCAGCUAGUAAUAGUGAGCAAAUCUCAUAAAAGCGUUCUCAGUUCGGAUUGAGGGCUGCAACCCGCCCUCAUGAAGUCGGAGUUGCUAGUAAUCCCGGAUCAGAAUGCCGGGGUGAAUGCGUUCCCGGGUCUUGUACACACCGCCCGU